rnacentral:ncRNA from 1 species
GGCUGAGACCGUUAAUUCGGGAUCCGCGGAACCUGAUCAGGUUAAAACCUGCGAAGGGAACAAGAGUAAUUCUGAU